GACGAACGCUGGCGGCGUGCCUAAUACAUGCAAGUAGAACGCUGAAGGAGGAGCUUGCUCUUCUGGAUGAGUUGCGAACGGGUGAGUAACGCGUAGGUAACCUGCCUGGUAGCGGGGGAUAACUAUUGGAAACGAUAGCUAAUACCGCAUAACAGUAGAUGUUGCAUGACAUUUACUUAAAAGGUGCAAUUGCAUCACUACCAGAUGGACCUGCGUUGUAUUAGCUAGUUGGUGGGGUAACGGCUCACCAAGGCGACGAUACAUAGCCGACCUGAGAGGGUGAUCGGCCACACUGGGACUGAGACACGGCCCAGACUCCUACGGGAGGCAGCAGUAGGGAAUCUUCGGCAAUGGACGGAAGUCUGACCGAGCAACGCCGCGGGAGUGAAGAAGGGUUUCGGAUCGUAAAGCUCUGUUGUAAGAGAAGAACGAGUGUGAGAGUGGAAAGUUCACACUGUGACGGUAUCUUACCAGAAAGAGACGGCUAACUACGUG
rnacentral:rRNA from 1 species